rnacentral:lncRNA from 1 species
GUAACUCAAUUCAAUCACUUCUCCAUCUAACUCAAUUUGAUCCUCCCAGUUCCUAAUUUACCAACCUUAACAAGAAGACAGCAACCUAGUUAAUUUUUUAACAAUAAAAAUCAAUUUAACAAACACAUUCAACAUAACACAGCCAUAGCCAACUCAUGCACUUUUAAAACAUUCGUAUAUUAAAAACUGUAAUUUUUAAAAUAAAUCCCACUGAUUUCAUUACAAGUUUAAACCUACUUGCUACUUAAAAGAACAGUGACGUUAUCCAACAACAAAAAAUUGCUCAGUGAUAUGUUCAGUAACAAUUCAACUUAGCAGCAACAAAUUCAGCUCAUUGAUCAUUUUUAACAACAAAUUUAAGUAGAAUAGCUUUCAGUAACAAAAACUUAAAUUCAAAUUCUCGGAAUAUGAUUUACAGCAAAACAAAAUCAAUUGAAUCAUUAUUUCAGCAACAAUCUCAACUUUCAACAACAAAUUCAAGAUAUACUGAUGACUUACAAUAAUGAAACUGAAAAAGAAAUAAUAGGACCGAAGGAAGCUGAAACUCCCCUACCCACGGACCAACUCACGACAAAGGAAGCGUUGACAGCCUAAGCAAGAAGACGAGCUUGCGAUGGUGACAGAGAGCGACAGAGCUUGCGACGAGCUUAAGUCUGAAACAGCCGUGAGAGAAGCGUGAAACCGGAGAGAGAGAGAGAGGUCGACGGUGAGACCAGCCGUGAGGGAGGUGAGCCACAGUGAGCUUGAGGGAGAGAGUGUCGAGAGAAGAGAGAAGAAACUCAAAGGAGGGUUACGGGUGCCAGAAGAGGGAUUGCCGACAGAAGCAUCACGCGCGCCGGCGACGUUCUUCGCGGAGUGCACAAUGAAGAGAGGUUAGGGUUCUUCGAUAUGAUGCUCUUCAUCGCGACCAGGGGGUUCUUCAUGAAGCACAAUGAAAAGUGGGAUGGGGUGAGGCAUAAUGAAGACAAGGUUAGGGUU